AAUCUCCAACUCUCGACAUCAUCAUAUAAAUCCAGUAUAAUCAUAAAAACCAACAUCCUAAUCAGAGCCUAAUCUAAGACUCCAAAGGAAACGACAACGGAGAUAGCUCCCGCUAUCCAAGCACUCACCAAGCAAUCAACAACUACUCCUGCACGCCGUCUAAACAUUCAUACAAAUAGGUAUGCGGUCAACCACAAGCCAAUGGGGUUAGCUUCACAUCAAUUAUAAUCAACAAUGCACAAAUUCACCAAUCACAUAUUCAACUAUGACAUAACUGAUCAAUUGUCCAAAUGCAUGCAAUGUUCUAGACCCUUCUAGAUGCAUGCGGUACCGUCACCAACAACAAAGGUCGUCACCUCAUUAUGCAACAAAAACAUCAUAUGUAAGAUUUCACACCCAUCUUACAUUUCAACAAAGUAAAAGUUCAUCACCCUUUUACAACACAUAUGACUCAAUAUGACUAUGAUGCAUGGACAUACAAGCAAAGACUCGACAAUGUAAGAUCACCUCAUAUAUAUUCAACAAAAACAAUGUAAGAAAUCACCUCCAUUUACAUUGAUCAUCUUCAAAAUCAAUUGCAUUAUCAAGUAUUUACGUGCACACAAUCAACAAGUCACAAUUCAAAUAAGAGUCAUCACCACAUUUUCAUUAUUAACAUGAUCAUUAUCACAAUUCAUCAAUUUGAGCAUAAUUUACAAAUUUCUUUCUUUCUUAAAAGCACCCCUAGAUAAUUAGGAUGAAGUCCCUACACUUAGGAAUAAGUUUAGAAACAAUUGGAUUGAAGAAAAAUGCAUUUUUAAGGUUUUUGGGCUGUCAAAAUCGCCUCAUGAUUUGUGAAAUCGCUUCAUGAUUUCGACAACAUCAGACUAUGCAGAAAUCAACUUUCAAAUACGAAUUUUCUCAAAUAAUUGCUUUUAAGUCACUUAAUCCAACCCCAAUACUUCCCAAUCAUUUCCAAAACUUAACCAAUUAUUAAACCCUUAUAACCACCACUUAAAACACUUGAAACAUCAUUUCCCAUUCCAAAAUCACUUAUUUUCCAAAAUCACUUAACUAGCUCUUCAUACAAAAACCCAAGUUUCUUCCCAAAACUUUUCACAACCAAGUUUUAUAACCACAAACAGAAGUUCAUUAAACUUAUAUCAACGCAACAACACCAACAUUUCACCUUAAUGCAUCAAGAAUCAUAAUCCACCAUGAAUGACCCAUUUUCAACAAAACUCUUAAAACAACAACUUCAUAAAAUGGAACACUCAUGGCAAAAAUCAACAACAUCUCAUAACAACAACAACAUCUUUAAACCAUGAAUUCAUCACAAUCAACAACAACAACACUAAGUUAUACUAAUUUGAGCAAAAAUCAACAAAAUCUCAUAUAACCACAAUUCAAGUAUGUAAAAUCAACAACAACAACAUGUUUAGCAUCAAAUUCACAUACCCAAACAUAUCACUAAAACAAUAGCACAAAUUUCACCAAUGGAAUUCACAAUAAUAACUUUUUACAAAUAAGCACUUUUGAAUAUAAGUAGAAAAGAGAUUAUAACUUAAAGAUUAUGAAUGAAAUCUAUACCGCUUACCUCAAUUAGCGAUAAUCCUAGCAAAAGCUUCAAUUUAGCUCCUAGAAUCUCUAUCACCUCUUGAUUCUUCAAGCUUCCUCUUCUAACUCUUUUUUCCCUUCCUCUUGCUUUUCUCUCUACCUCUCUCAGAGUCUUACGAAAUGAAUGUGAACCCUAUUUCUCUACAGAGACUAAAGUUUAAAUUGUGUCCACACUAAUGGGCUUAACCCUUACAAAGUCUUAAUGAGCCUAAGACCCUAAAUAACUAACCCACAUAGUCUUUACUCACUUAUGGUUAAAAAUUAUCAAAUAAUUACCGGCUCAAAACUAAUUACCACAACCCGCUAGUAACAUAGUAAAAUAAUGGUUCCCACUUAAAAUACUAAAAAUAAUCAUCACCAUGAAAUUACUAAUUUACCCUUGCUCACCAAAUGACCAAAAUGACUAAAAUACCCUUUUAACACCGAAUUCUAAUAAUCCCAACCAAAAUACACACAGAGGCAAUUAAUCACAUAGAAGCACAUAUAAACAUAUAUAAUAAUGAAUUAAAAUAAAUCUAACAAAAAUUGGGCUUUUACAACAGAGACUUAACGACUUUCGUCCAAUUUCUUCGGUGGGAAACAUGUAUAAAAUUAUAGCAAAAUUGUUAGCAAAUAGAUCGAGGUUGGUGAUUAGUAGUGUGGUGUCUGAGACUCAGUCUGCUUUUGUUAAAAAUCACCAAUUCCUUGAUGGUAUUCUUAUAGCAAAUGAGGUUGUUGAUGAGGCUCGUAAACUUAAGAAGGAGCUUAUGUUGUUUAAAGUGGAUUUUGAAAAAGCUUAUGAUUCCGUUGAUUGCGGCUACUUGGAUCCGUUUAUGGAGGGAAUGUCUUUUCCUGUUCUGUGGAGGAAAUGGAUUAGAGAAUGUGUGGGUACUGCAACAGCUUCAGUUCUUGUCAAUGGCUGCCCUACUGAUUAGUUUGAUUUACAUAGAGGCUUACGAAAGGGGGAUCCACUUUCCCCCUUUUUGUUUCUAAUUGCAGCUGAGGGGCUAAACAUUCUGAUGAAAGCCAUGGUUAAUAAUGAUUUUUUCACAGGAUAUACGGUUGGUAUGGUAAAUAUUGGUGUCGUUUCACAUAUCCAAUUUGUUGAUGAUACACUGCUAUUAGGUAACAAAAGCUGGGCAAACAUGCGGGCUCUUGGAGCGGCUCUUUUUUGAAUCCAUGUCGGGUUUGAAGGUAAAUUUCCAUAAAAGCUUGUUUGUUGGAAUUAAUAUUUCUGAUUCAUGGAUGGCUGAGGCAGCGGCGGUGUUGAGUUGUAAGGUGGGAAAAAUUCCUUUUAUGUACUUAGGCCUUCCUAUUGGUGGUAAUCCGCGGAGACUAUCGUUUUGGGACCCUAUCGUGAAUCACAUUAAAUCUAUAUUGUCGGGUUGGAAUAGCAGGUUUCUCUCGUUCGAUGGCCGCUUGAUCCUUCUUAAAGCAAUUUUGUCUUCUCUACCUGUCUAUGCUCUUUCCUUCUUCAAAGAUCCACCAGGUAUAAUCUCUUCCAUUGAAUCUUUAUUGAGUAAAAUCUUUUGAGGUGGGAGUGAGGAUUGUAGAAAAAUUACUUGGAUAGGUUGGAAUACCUUGUGUUCUAAAAAGGAGCAUGGAGUUUUGGGGGUUAGGAAGUUGAAGGAUUUUAAUAUUGCUUUACUAGGUAAAUGGUGUUAGUCGAUAGAGAAGGUUUGUGGUACCAUGUUUUAGUCUCCCGUUUGGCGAAGUAGGUGGGAGGAAGGAGGUGGGGGGCCGGAGUGUUUCUUCUUGGUGGCGUGAUUUAGGUAGGACUCUUGAAGGAGAUGGUGAGUCUGGUGGUGGGUGGUUCGAUCACAGUGUUAUCCGGAAGGUGGGUGAUGGGGCUGAAACUUUUUUUUGGUCACAUAGGUGGAUUGGUGGUAUCCUGCUUAGUGUGCGGUUUCGUCGAUUGUUUGACUUGGCAGAGAACAAAACGAUUACGGUGGCUAACUUUUUCUCGCUGGGUCUGGCGCGGCAAGGGGAGGGGUGGAGGUGGCGUCGCAGAUUGUGGGCGUGGGAGGAGGAUAUGUUAGAGGAGUGUAGGGCUUUACUAUUUGAUGUUUUGUUGGUUCCAAACGUUUCAGAUAAAUGGGUCUGGCUUCUAGACAUUGCUGAUGAAUAUUAUGUGCGCGAUGCCUAUGAUUUGUUACUUAAUUGUGAUAAUUCUAUGUUGGACACGUCUCUGGAGUUAGUGUGGCAUAAACAGGUUUCGUUGAAGGUCAUUGUCUUUACUUGUUACCUGGCUCAUAUGGGACCGAUUACCUGGCUAUUCGUGGUGUUAUUUAUGCGGACGACACUUUGUGUGUUUCAGGGUGCGGUCACGUAGAGACGGUUGAGCAUCUUUUUCUAUCAUGUGUGGUGUUUGCUUCUUUAUGUUAGCAGGUGCGCGAAUGGAUUGGAUGUGCACUUUACUUUUAUGACAGGUGGUAAUAAAGCUAAACGUUCGUUCGCACAGCUUGUGUGGCUCUUGUGUACUUGGGUUAUGUGGAAUGAAGGUAACCAUUGUCUGUUCAAUAAUAUUGUAACCUAUGUUCCCCGUCUAUUAGAUAAGGUCAAAUUGUUAGCUCUAGGGUGGCUGAAAGCUAAGAAUGUCAUGUUUGUUUUUGGUAUACAGAGGUGGUGGUCAAGCCCUUUAGCUUGUCUGGCAUUGGCUAACUUUGUUUUCUCUGUUGUGUAUUGACUCUCUAUAACUCUGUAGUGGUAUCUUAGGCACACCUUGUGCUUGGGAACCACUCUUUGGUUUGGUUAUAUAAUUUAAUUUUAGCUUCUUAAAAAAAAUAAAAUUAUUUGAUCUGAUUUAUAUUGCGAUCCUUUAAACUAUAUAAUUGAACUAAAAGUUGUAUAGGUAAAAUAUCCAACUUCCUUUCAAAAUAUUUAAAAAACAAAACUAUAUAUCGUAUUUGUUGUUCGGUUACU
rnacentral:lncRNA from 1 species